rnacentral:tRNA from 1 species
CCCUGGUUAGCUCAGUUUUGUAGAGCGCUCCACUAGAAAUGGAGACGUCCCCGGUUCGAUACCAGGGG